rnacentral:rRNA from 1 species
GCUACACAUGCAGUCGAGCGGCAGCACGGGGAGCUUGCUCCCUGGUGGCGAGCGGCGGACGGGUGAGUAAUGCAUAGGAAUCUGCCCGGUAGUGGGGGAUAACCUGGGGAAACCCAGGCUAAUACCGCAUACGUCCUACGGGAGAAAGCAGGGGCUCUUCGGACCUUGCGCUAUCGGAUGAGCCUAUGUCGGAUUAGCUGGUUGGUGAGGUAAUGGCUCACCAAGGCGACGAUCCGUAGCUGGUCUGAGAGGAUGAUCAGCCACACUGGGACUGAGACACGGCCCAGACUCCUACGGGAGGCAGCAGUGGGGAAUAUUGGACAAUGGGCGCAAGCCUGAUCCAGCCAUGCCGCGUGUGUGAAGAAGGCCCUCGGGUUGUAAAGCACUUUCAGCGAGGAAGAAGGCUUGGCGGCUAAUACCCGUCAAGAAGGACAUCACUCGCAGAAGAAGCACCGGCUAACUCCGUGCCAGCAGCCGCGGUAAUACGGAGGGUGCGAGCGUUAAUCGGAAUUACUGGGCGUAAAGCGCGCGUAGGUGGUUUGGCACGCCGGUUGUGAAAGCCCCGGGCUCAACCUGGGAACGGCAUCCGGAACGGCCAGACUAGAGUGCAGGAGAGGAAGGUAGAAUUCCCGGUGUAGCGGUGAAAUGCGUAGAGAUCGGGAGGAAUACCAGUGGCGAAAGGCGGCCUUCUGGCCUGACACUGACACUGAGUGCGAAAGCGUGGGUAGCAAACAGGAUUAGAUACCCUGGU